CCACAAACCAUCUUUGAGUUAACAAUGGACUACUACCUUGUAUUGUUGCUGAUGCUACCCUUUGUGUGGGCAUUCAUUCGUAUUGUCACCUCCAAUAAUCUAUCAAGCCAGACUCUUCCCCCUGGACCACACCCUUUUCCAAUCAUUGGUAACAUCUUGGAGCUUGGCAAAUUACCCCACCAAGAAAUUGCCAAGCUCUCCAAAACUUAUGGUCCCUUAAUGACUCUCAAGCUUGGGAGAAUAACCACCAUAGUCAUUUCCUCUCCAACCUUAGCUAAAGAAGCACUUCAGAAAAAUGACCAAGCUUUCUCUAGCCGAACCAUCCCAAAUAUGGCCCAUGUAUUCGACCACCACAAACUUUCAAUGGCUUGGAUUCCCACAAAUGCUAAAUGGAAGAACCUUAGGAAAGCUUCCGCCACUCAAAUAUUUGCUACAAAACCUCUUGAUGCCACACAAGCCCUUCGACAAACAAAGGUACAAGAACUACUUGACCAUAUUAACCAAAGUUGCAAAAGUGGUGCACCCAUUGAUAUUGGUCAAUUAGUGUUCACAACAGUUCUUAAUUCAAUAUCAAACACUUUUUUCUCUAUGGACUUGGCCCAGUACGACUCUAAUUUGUCCCAAGAGUUCCGGGACCUUGCGUGUAGUGUAGCCAAAGAAGCUAGAAGGCCAAAUAUUGCUGAUUAUUUCCCAGCACUUCGUUUGAUUGACCCCCAAGGUGUACGCAAAAGGACAAGGAUUUAUUUCUCAAAAGUAUUUGGGAUUUUUGAUGGAAUCAUCAAUCAACGACUCCAAUUAAGAGCUUCAUCAAAGGGUUUUAAAGAAAGCAACGAUUUCUAGAUUCACUCCUCAAUCUCACUGAAGAAGAUAAUUCAGAAAUAAGCCUCGUCGAUAUCAAACAUUUGCUUCUGGACUUAUUUCUUGCAGGAAUUGACACAACGUCAAGCACAGUAGAAUGGGCAAUGGCAGAGUUAUUACACAACCCAGAAAAAAUGACAAAAGCCCGAGAUGAGCUUGAAGAAGUCCUAGGUAAGGGCGGGCAUGUUCAAGAAUCAGACAUCUCAAAGUUCAAUUAUCUUCGAGCUAUAGUGAAAGAAACCUUCCGAUUGCACCCAUCAGUGCCUUUUCUACUUCCACGUAAGGCUAAGACAAACAUAGAAAUAUGUGGCUAUAUCGUGCCAAAAAAUGCACAAAUACUAAUAAAUGUGUGGGCAAUGGGACAAGACGCGAGCUUAUGGCAAAGCCCAAAUUUAUUUAUGCCUGAAAGGUUUUUAGAACAAGACAUUGAUUAUAAAGGCCAAGAUUUUGAGCUGAUUCCCUUUGGAGCUGGAAGAAGGAUAUGCCCUGGAUUACCAUUAGCUAACCGAAUGGUGCAUUUGAUGUUGGCUUCUCUUGUUCACUACUUUGCUUGGAAGCUCCCAAAUGAGAUGAGGCCAGAAGACAUGGACAUGGCUGAGAUGUUUGGGCUUACCUUACAUAGGGCAAUGCCCCUCCUAGCUAUUCCAAUCAAAUCCUUGUAACUUUGAUUGUUUAUUCUUGGCCCACUAUGGAUGUGAAUUUGUCUAUGUUUAAUAUGAUGCCUUCAAUAUUAGAAUUUUCCAUAAGUAUAGUAGUGGAAAACAAUUAUAGAUCAUACAUCAUUAUUUUGUAGUUUUAUAGUGAGUUUUAAUUAGCUCAA